CGGGAGGCAGCAGUAGGGAAUCUUCCACAAUGGACGAAAGUCUGAUGGAGCAAUGCCGCGUGAGUGAAGAAGGGUUUCGGCUCGUAAAACUCUGUUGUUAAAGAAGAACACCUUUGAGAGUAACUGUUCAAGGGUUGACGGUAUUUAACCAGAAAGCCACGGCUAACUACGUGCCAGCAGCCGCGGUAAUACGUAGGUGGCAAGCGUUGUCCGGAUUUAUUGGGCGUAAAGCGAGCGCAGGCGGUUUUUUAAGUCUGAUGUGAAAGCCUUCGGCUUAACCGGAGAAGUGCAUCGGAAACUGGGAGACUUGAGUGCAGAAGAGGACAGUGGAACUCCAUGUGUAGCGGUGGAAUGCGUAGAUAUAUGGAAGAACACCAGUGGCGAAGGCGGCUGUCUAGUCUGUAACUGACGCUGAGGCUCGAAAGCAUGGGUAGCGAACAGGAUUAGAUACCCUGGUAGUCCAUGCCGUAAACGAUGAGUGCUAAGUGUUGGAGGGUUUCCGCCCUUCAGUGCUGCAGCUAACGCAUUAAGCACUCCGCCUGGGGAGUACGACCGCAAGGUUGAAACUCAAAGGAAUUGACGGGGGCCCGCACNAGCGGUGGAGCAUG
rnacentral:rRNA from 2 species